UGAGUCCCCCUGUGCAACGGCGACUGCGAUUGAGAAAGAGCUCCCGUCCGGCGCGACAGCCGUGACAGAGGAAAGGACGGCGGCAGCGGCGGCACCAUGAGCACCUUCGCCUUGGAGGAGACGCUGGAGGCGGACUGGGUGGCUGUGAGGCCUCACGCCUUUCAUGAGCGGGAGAAGCACAAGUUCGUCUUCAUUGUGGCCUGGAAUGAGAUCGAGGGCAAGUUCGCCAUCACCUGCCACAACCGGACAGCGCAGAGGCAGCGCAGCGGCUCUCGGGAGCUCCGCCGUCGGGGUGGCGGCAGCAGCAGUCCCGGGGGAGCAGAACAGCGAGCAGCUUCCACCUCCACCAAGGCGGCCGGCAGUCCCACAAUGCGCAGGAGCCCGGCCUGGAGCGCCGCCGAGCUUAGCCAAGCCAGGAACUCGCCGGUGUCGCCUGUUCGGGCCGAGUCGCUGCCAAGGAGCCCCGGAGGCCGAGUGACUGAGACAGUGCAGAGGAGCCCGGCCAGGGCGAGGAGCAGUCAGGCCCGGAGGCCUCCGCCUGCUCCGAAGGCGCCCCUCAGCCCCGCGGCCUGCGUGGCCGAGGAUAUCGAGGUACUAGAGUUGGGAAAGGACGAGCCGGCGGGCGGCACCGCUUUCCUGUUGCCGUCCCCGCUCUCCGGGCCUCAAGCCGCCGAGACGCCCUCGGUGGCCUCUUCAGAGCAAGAGCCCUCGUCUGGGGAGGAGUGUAGCUGGGCCGGCCUCUUCUCCUUCCAGGAUCUGCGGGCCGUGCAUCAGCAGCUGUGCUCGGUGAAUUCCGAGUUGGAGCCCUGCUUACCGGUUCUUCCCGAAGAACCGUCGGGCAUGUGGACGGUACUGUUCGGGGCACCGGAGCUAUCCGAGCAGGAGAUGGAUGCUCUGUGCUACCAGCUGCAGGUUUACCUGGGCCACUGCCUCGACACCUGCGGGUGGAAGAUUCUCUCCCAGGUCCUCUUCACCGAAACGGACGACCCGGAGGAGUACUACGAGAGCCUGAGUGAACUGCGGCAGAAGGGCUAUGAGGAGGUGUUGCAGCGAGCCCGCAAGCGCAUCCAGGAGCUCCUGGAAAAGCACAAAAAUACAGAAAGCAUGGUAGAGCUGCUUGAAUUAUAUCAAAUGGAAGAUGAAGCCUAUGGUAGUCUUGCUGAAGCCACCACAGAACUCUAUCAGUACUUACUGCAGCCAUUCCGAGAUAUGAGAGAACUUGCAAUGCUUAGAAGACAACAAAUUAAGAUUUCCAUAGAGAACGAUUACUUAGGACCCCGAAGAAUUGAGAGUCUACAAAAAGAAGAUGCAGACUGGCAACGGAAGGCCCACAUGGCUGUACUUUCAAUACAAGACCUUACUGUGAAAUAUUUUGAAAUAACAGCAAAAGCACAGAAAGCUGUGUAUGAUCGAAUGCGGACAGACCAGAAAAAGUUUGGCAAGGCAGCAUGGGCAGCAGCAGUGGAACGAAUGGAAAAACUUCAAUAUGCUGUGUCUAAGGAGACGUUGCAGCUGAUGAGAGCAAAGGAAAUCUGUUUGGAACAGAAGAAACAUGCACUGAAAGAAGAGAUGCAGAGCUUACAAGGUGGCACCGAAGCCAUAGCACACUUGGACCAACUUGAAGCUGAUUAUUAUGACCUGCAACUUCAGUUGUAUGAAGUGCAGUUUGAAAUUUUGAAGUGUGAAGAACUGCUGCUGACAGCACAGCUUGAAAGCAUCAAAAGACUUAUUUCAGAGAAAAGAGAUGAAGUAGUAUAUUAUGAUACUUAUGAAAGUAUGGAAGCCAUGCUUGAAAAAGAAGAUAUGGCAACAUCUAUACAAUUGCAAAGAGAGGAGUUACAGAAAUUGCAACAAAAGGUCCGCCAGCUAGAAGCAAGGCGUGGGCGCAUUUCAGCCAAGAAAGCCUACCUCAGAAAUAAAAAGGAAAUCUGCAUUGCAAAACAUAGUGAAAAAUUCUUGCAACAUUUUCAAAGUGAAGAGGAACUGCAGCAUACAGCCAAGUUUAAAAAAGAACAGUUGCAAGAUGAGGAAGAAAGGAAAAGCUCAUGGGUCAGUCAGGAACGGCAGAAAACACUGGACAGACUUCGAACAUUUAAACAGCGUUACCCUGGACAGGUUAUACUCAAAUCAACUAGACUUCGAUUGGCCCAUGCAAGAAGAAAAAAUGCAGCCACUUCAGCAUCAUGUGCUGAUCACUCCCUGUCUUCACCAGUAACUAUGCAAGUUGAUAGGGUGGGACAAGAAAAAGUGAUUCAACCUUUACAUAUUCAGGAGCCCAGCAGCUUAGGACAACUUGAAGAUACUUUUUUACCUCCCUGUGGUGUUACCACUGAAUUUUCUCAAACUACUUCUCUUCCAACUGUUGUCAGUAAUGAACUUCAUCCUGAUACAGUUCAGGAGACUCCACUUUCUCUUCCUCUUCCUUUGCCACCACCGCCACCGCCACCUCUGCCUACUAAGGAAGAAGCUACUCAGUGCUCUGAAAAAAACAGUAGCCCAGUUAAACAAGAAAGCAUGGAAAAGCCAAUCCUACCAACCACCAUCGCACCAUCAGCUCAUUUCUUUGAUAGCAGUCAGCUAGUCAGUGCCAAGAAGAAACUGAAGAAGACUGGUGAUAUUGAAGGUUUGCAGAGGAGGAGAGUGAGUUCCCCAAUGGAUGAAGUUUUGGCUUCCUUGAAGCGUGGUAGCUUCCACCUGAGGAAAGUUGAACACAGAAAUCUCCCUCCUUUCCCUGAUGAAGAUGACAGCAAUAAUAUCUUGGCACAGAUAAGAAAAGGCGUGAAACUGAAGAAGGUGCAAAAGGACAUUAUGAGAGAAUCUUUUACAGUUUUACCUGAUGAUGAUCCUUUGACCCGCAGCAUCCAUGAAGCACUACGACGAAUUAAAGAGGCAUCACCAGAGUCUGAAGAUGAGGAUGAGAACCUACCUUGCACAGAUUGGGAAACUUAAGGUGUAAUGUUUCUUUAAGUAUGCAUUUCAUUUCCUUGAAUAGUUAUAGCACCUCUGGUGAUAUUGCCUUGGUGUAAGAAUUUCAGAGAAUAUGGUUUUCCUUUCACUUCUGAACAUGUAUAGUCAACGGUUUGAUCAUCACUUUCAGCCUGGUUAAGGCUUACUCUGACAAAUGAUUCAAUGUGUGCAGAAGAGCUUAAAAAAGCAUAUUUUUAAUUCAUUAUAGAAGAUUCUGGUUGGACCAAAAGCUAUCUGAUUUAGAUUUGCAUUUGCAUUAUUCUGAGGUGAGUGAUAUUUUCUGGUUUUUCACUCACUUUUUACAAUUGUGUGAAGCACUAAGCAGCUAUUGCAACAAAACUUCCCAGCAUAACCAGGUCAGGUAUGAAAUCUGGCCUUUGCAUCACGGAAGACUUGACUGUUUAAAAAAAUCCAGUUGCUACUUCACAACAACUUCUUAUACAACAGCAGGAAUUCACAUAAAACUCCUUAUUUCUCACCAUAUUUUUCAUACGAGAGGUGGAUAUCAAAGAUAAAGAGCAUUUCUUAACUGUUCAAAGUACAAAUUAGUGUGAAAAUGAGAAGAAAUUACCAUCAAGACUAACGAAGGCACCCUAAGAGUGGAAUACUUGUAUUUAAGAAUGUAUUUGUUUACACCAUAGUACAUUUAAAAUGGUAUAUAGCAUAACCCAUUACAGGGUCAUGUAUACUGUGUACAUCUUAUAUUUUUAAAUUAGACUUUUCCAUACUCUUAUGAAUAGUAACAUGUUAAUUGCAGGACUGAGUUAUAUUAAAAUUACAUAAAAUUUUAUUUAUAGAAACAAUAUUUUGUAAUGAAAGACUUAAAAUUAUUUUUGUCAAUUAGUUUAACUAUUCUUUGAUUACUCUAAGGAGCUUUAUUUAAGGAGAAUGCAAAACUGAAGUAAGCUUUUAGUUUUACAUUUUGGAAGUUAUCGUAUUUUUUCAGUUUUCAUUAUUCCCAUUCACUGUUAGAGAAAUUAAAACUAUGUAACAGCCUGCUUGUUCAAAAGUACACUUCUUUUUAACCCUGGCUGUAUAAUGGUGUAAACGAGGCACAUAUUUCAGUACAGUGAAUAUCUAAAGCAGUGUAAUCCCAAACAGCGUGACUAAUAGCUGCAGGCAGCUUGUUUUAUAACAACAAAGAACUGAGCAGUAUUUCCGCACCAGGGCUAAUCUUACCUUUAUUAAAACUCUGAUGAAGAAUCUCUGUUUAUAGGAGAACCUUGAGCUUGGCCAGCUUCUUAUUUUUAAAUACAAUUUCAUGUUUACUGUACUUGAGCAAUCAUGAUCCCUUAUCUUAGGUUAGAAAAAACAAGCAAACCCAUUUUGAAACAAUGUACUGUAUACUUUUACUGUCCUGUUAAAAGUAGCCUCUAUGAACUUUAUAUAUAUUGGAAGGUUAUUGAAUGCUCACAGUAAUUCCAUGUACUUUUCAAUAUCUUUUCCUUUUCUCCUUUUAAAAAUAGUUGGGAGUACCCAGAAUACUUGAGAAAAAUUAUGUAACUUAGCCCACGUGAACUCUUGCACAUACUUGGGCCCACAAGAGGAAUGACCCUGGCCAAUAACCAUAGUAAUAUCAUUACAUACUUUAAUGGGUCUUCUGUACUCGGCAGGUGUACUUUUUCUUAAGCUUAUUGCCUUAUAUAGUCUACAAUAAUGUCCUUUUCCAAAGUAAGCUUGAGAAGAGUGCGAGUUCAGUUAGUACUGGAGCGCCUUCUGUUGGUGAGAAAGAGAACAUUAGUACUAUUAUGCAUCAGACAUUAGUUUUGCUGAAAAACUGACAACCCAAGUUUCUUUUUAUGCAUGUUAACCAAAGUUGCAUUAUACAAUGUGUGGUAAUCCCAGAUAAUGCAGGGUUCAGUGGCAAUAAUUCAAUGGCUGCAAAAUUUAUCUGUUAACCUUUAGCAUAAACCAUAAUGUACAUAGUUGGUGUGCCUUUGCUGUUUAGCCACCUACACUCCAAAUUACCACUAUAUAAUAUGUGUUUGGAUUUUUAGCACAAAAGUUGAACAUCUAAAAUUAGUAUGACGUGGAUCACAUAAAGCUUUGCACAAUCGGUUGCAGCAGGGGCUUCAAGCAACACAUUCCACUGGGCAGUUUAUGUAAAAUACUAACAGACCAUAUAAGCAAGGAGACAUAAUUUGCUUAAAACUAGAGCUAACGCUCCUUGCCUUUGCACUGUUUUGCAUCUACACAUUUUAAAUUUAUACGAGAAAUUUAUGAAGCACUCUAUAUAAUUGCGCAGUGUUCAGGCUUUAGAUAUCUGAGAUCUUGUUUUGAAAACUCCAGGUUUUUUUAAAACCCCUAUGACAGCUAAAUUAUUACUAGACUCUGAAACUGGCUUGGGUCUGUAAAAAUUGUUAGUCCAUAGGAACUUACUUUAUAUACACUGGCAGCUGCACAGUGGUUGAUCUCAUACCAUAAUUUUCCUUUUAUUUUUUUCAUAAUCUGUUAGGAAAAAAGAGGUUAAGCUCACUGCCAUUAAUGACUGGCCAGCAUUUCAGUUUUUUCUGAGUUAGCAUCCUGUCCAUUCUUCCAAGUAGACUUCCUUAUAAUUCCUAAACCUUUGGACUAACAGUGAUUCCUACUUUUAUUGCUUAGACUACUACUUGUGAAAUCACUCAGUUGGCUGAGAAAUCAGUCCUCAGGCUUGCGAUUUCUCACAGAAGGUUUAGAAAAUAUGUAGGUAUUUAAGAAGUGAAUGCUGUUUGAAAUGGGUCAAGCUCAAAUCUAUGCAGUUGACAAGUAUGCAUGAAAAAUGCAUUUCAGUAUUUUUAUGCUGCAGGCUGCCAAAUGUGAUUGCAUUUAUUCCACAUUGCUAGUCACUAUUUUUAUUUAAUAUCUUGUCCACAAUGCAUUGUAUGUGUCAAGAAAUGAUGUUAAUAUAUCCCAGAUAUAGGAUAUUGGUAAUGGACUUUCUCACAGAACAACAAAUGCUGGGUAAUAAGUUUUGUGGUUGGGAAUAUUGUAGCAGGGAUCCAAGACGCUGAGAUCAGAUUUAGUUUCCUGCUAGAGAGAGAUUGUUGAAGUACAGAAACACUGAUUGUGAAGUGGUUUCAUCGUCUACAACAUGGGUCCCCAUUCCUGGGCCUUCUUUCUCUUCCUUCCUAACCCCAGUCUUGCUCUUUCUCCCUCACUCAAUCUUUAUUUUACUCUUUCAUUCCGUUCUUAGGCUUACUUCUCCCCUUGCACAGCUCACUGUUUCUCCCUUCUCCUAGCCCUUAGCCACACUUCCUCCCUUCCCCACCCCUCGCCCUCCCCCUCCCCCUCCUUCUCCCUUGCUGCUUAUCCUUACCUCUCCUGCUCUAAGACUUGGUUAUAUGCCCCUCUCCCUUUGCCUGGCCAGGCCCCCAUGGCAGCUAUUAUGGGAUUAGCCACCUCCUUUCUGGGAGCAAUGUUGUGGUGGUUCCCACAACAGUUUCUCAAAUUCCUAAAUACGCCUUCAGGUCCAAAACAAUUUGGGACUCCUGUUCUACAGAACAUUUCCAGGACUUUUUAAUUUCAAUUGCUUGGUUAUUUGUAUAGUGAAUGCCAUUCUUUAGCAUAGUUUUGCUUCUUGUUGAAACCAUUUGCUUGUUAAGCGUUUCAAAACAGAAUAGUUUCUGUCAUAAAAUCUACAAACACAGUAACAAAUUAACACCAGUAAAUUACAUUUCGCAGGGAUAUAGGGUAAGAAUCUAUUUCACCAUAAGGAGACUUUGGUCUUGUGCUUUGUCUUACGUAUGUAGACUCUGUCUUCAAAAUAUUGGUGCAUUUUUGUGAAGCAGUCCUGUGGAAAGUUGAAACUUUCACUAAUUGUCAAUAUGUUAUUUUCAUUUGCACUGACUUUAAAGAGUGAAUUGUAAAUUGAGGCUAUUUGAUGAGCCUAUUUUAUUUUCAGUGUAAUGCUUUUGUAUUUUGAUUACCUGUGUUAAUCAUAGUGAUCUCAGAAGCAUGAAGCAAGAUAUGUCUAGUGUUGGUAAACUGAUAAAAGCAAACAGGCUUACUGCAAAGAGAUGCUUAUUGCAAGAGAUGAAAGCACAUUGCUGAAAGCAUGUGGAAAUUUAAAAUGCUAUGGGUUACUAAAUGUAAUAGUUUGCUAUCAAUAUUAACACCAAUCCAGUGACAGCAAUCUUUGUAAGAAUACACACCUAGAUCCAAAAUAGCAUCCUGCUUCUGUAGCAGGUUUAAUCAUGUCUGAAGCCAAGUGACACUUUGGAGCAUAGCAAUGAACAUAUAGGGUUUUUGCUGAGUUCAUAAGUUUCCUGGAUUGGGACAUUUAUUGAUAAAUGUUCUUUAAUAGAGGAAAGCAUAUUGGUUUGUUCUGAAUAAUGGUUUGAAAAAUACAGCACAAGUUAGUUUUUCUCCUAUGAAUAUAACUAAUUUUAAAGCUUCCAAUAAAGUAUACUUGUUAACUGCUACAUAAAAUCAUAUUGUAAUGAAAAGGAUUUUAUUCCAAUAUUUUUUGCAAAUCUGUUUUCUCAUGAUUUCACAGCCUUAUAUGUCGGUUAAGGUAAUUCACUUGGAAUUCCUAGAUUUGAACUUCAAAAUAUCAACGAUGUAAACAAAAACUCCAGGCCUGGGUGCCAGUUUUUAUUUUCCAUUCUCUAAUACAGGUUUUCAUUUAUCUCUGGUGAAGUAAAUAACUAAGGGCCUAUUUUUGGAAAUAGUUUGUGUUUGAUCUUGUAGCCCAAGUGAGAUGAAGAGUGGGCUGUAAAUUCAAAUAAUCCCAUCCCAAUGUGACUGUGAGAAAAUAAACUGAACUGAUUCUGCCUAUCUGAACCAGGUAGAUUUUGUGUUCAAAUAAAUGUGGGAUUGCCCUGUUUGCUUCUUACCAAGUGUCUGCAAGUACAUUCACCAGUAGCAAUCAUACAGUUUUGCUGGCCUGUAGUAUAUUCCACAGUAAGAUUAAUUAUUUCCUUAAAAUGUAGCACUAAUAGAGAUCAUGGCACAGUUUUGCCAUAGUAAUAAACUAUAAUUUAGUCCCCAUGUUCCCUUUUCCAUUAGCAUGGCUGUAAGGAGACUGGAAGCAUUCACUUUCUGGGGUAAAAACACAGUUGGUUAUGCACAAACAUAGAUCAAACUACUUGUUUAAAGCAAAGAUAGGGAAUGUGUGACCUUGCAGAUGUUGACUGCAAUUCCCUUCACUCCUACUAUGGGCUGUGCUGGGUGUGGCUGAUGGGAGUUGUCAGAAUCUGGAGCAGGAAUGCGAAGAUCGGGCCAGAUUCUGGCUCUCUUGUGCUUAGCAGAUUUUCCCAUGCUCAGCCCUGGCUAGGAAGUGAGCUCAGAUCAUGGCCAGGAAUGCUAGCAGCUUCUUUGAGCAAAGUACACAAAACCUGCAGGUCUUGCACAGAAGCAGAAAUCUACCUGCAUAGUAGGUAUGUGGGCAGUGUGUGGGCAAGCUCAUGAACUUGCGGGGUUAGGGCAGAGAGAAAAAGGACUACAGAGUCCAAGGAGCUGAGCUGAGGAAAUCUGACAGAUUCCCACUCCCCAAACCAGAUUCCUCAUACAUUGCUAAUCUGAAGAGCCACAGAUUAGUGCCAUCCUUGCUUAGAUUCCAUCAAGGAUGGAACUACUGAAAUAAGUUUUGUGGCCUUUGGUCCUGGCGUAUUUUAAUAAGUCACAGUUUAAACCAGGUAUCCCCUAUAGUAUUGACUAGGUGGGUACAUUUGGAAAGUUGAGUAUGGUGUGAGUUGGCAUAACCAAUAAAAAAACACUAAUUUCCCAGAAAGCAAACUGGUGAAGCUGAAAGAAAGAAACUUGCCAAAGAACCUAAUUACCAAGCAGCAGCAGAGCCUGAAUUUGAUGAACCAAACCAAAAAUGGCACUGGAAUGAAAAACACUUCACUUUGCAGCAAACCAGCUUUCCAGUUUAAAAAAAAAAGUUUUUAGCUUAAAAAAAUAAACUGCAGAAACAAAAUUGGGAGAAGUAGAGAGCCUGGUGAGUAUCAAAGGAGGGCAUAUGAGUUUAAAAUAAUCACAGUGCCUGUAUUGCACAGAAGAAACUGUGGUAAGCUUAAGCUAAAAGUCCCUGGGGUCAUGAUAUAACAUUAUAUCCACACUUGGUGCAGUGUGUCUUUCUAAUAUGCAAUUUGUGCUUGGGCACAGCAGGAGUGUCAUGGAUAAGCAGGCAGGUUUCUAGAAACACCCCUCAGUCUUCUACAUCCUAAACAGGUACAGAAAGGACACACCUACUUUCAUUUCUGUGUGUCAGAGAUGUAACCCUUACUGGCUCUUUGAAACUAUGAUUAGCUAUCAGAUUGAUCCAAAACAUUUGGUUCUUUGUGCAGCAACAUUUGCCUGCAAUAAAGAGACGGGAGAGGUGUGUCAGAGUUACUUUGCCUACAGUCCUGAGAACUGCAGCACUGUAGGGAUUUGCCAGCUUUACAGAGUAUGCAGUGCCAUGAGCGAUGGCAGGCUGAAGUGGUGCAGGCACUUUUGGAUAUUUGGGUAUGUGCCUCUGGGGGGUUUGUUCCCAAACCCCAUAGUGUUAAUUGUGAGCACUCAGUCCACACGAAGAAGAGUGAUAAUUCCCACACAUGACUAUGCAGCCAUUAGUUCUCAAAAUUAAUAAUUGCUUCAAAAUCAUUAAAAAGAAAUCCCCCAUAGAUGUGCUCUUUGAUUACCAAUACUUUUCACUUUAAAACAAUGGUAACAAAAUGUAUCAUCAUGUUUUGUAAAUCCAAGUUUAGGGGUUGGUGUUUAUUGCCCACUUGCCCCCCGCCCCCAGCCUCCCACAUGAAUUUAGAAGUAAGGAAUUUCCCAUUCCAUUCUAUUCCUCCUGCCCUUUCUGCGCUAUCUAGGUAUCACUUUCAGGGUUAAUUCAAUGUGCAAAAAUACCUUCUCUAUUCUUCUAAAGUCUAGUUGUGAAAACUAUGUUUUCUUUGCAGAUGGAAAGCUAGGGCUAGCUAGUUUCUAGUUUAAAAAUCUUUACAGGAGGAGUGUUCAAAACAUUCAGUCCAUUGCAUUCAUGCUGAAAUGGUACUGUUUAGGAAUUCCUCUUAUGCUGUGUUAACACACCUGAAAUAGGUAGGUAAAGGUAAAGGAUUCCCCUGACAUUAAGGUCCAGUCAUGUCUGACUCUUAGGGGCAGUGCUUAUCUCCAUUUCCU